CCUACGGGAGGCAGCAGUGAGGAAUAUUGGUCAAUGGUCGGGAGACUGAACCAGCCAAGCCGCGUGAGGGAUGAAGGUACAGAGUAUCGUAAACCUCUUUUGUCAGGGAACAAAGGCGGGGACGUGUCCCCGGAUGAGUGUACCUGAAGAAAAAGCAUCGGCUAACUCCGUGCCAGCAGCCGCGGUAAUACGGAGGAUGCGAGCGUUAUCCGGAUUUAUUGGGUUUAAAGGGUGCGCAGGCGGUCUGUUAAGUCAGCGGUAAAAGCCCGGGGACAAACCCCGGCCCGCCGUUGAAACUGGCAGUCUCGAGUUGGAGAGAAGUAUGCGGAAUGCGCGGUGUAGCGGUGAAAUGCAUAGAUAUCGCGCAGAACUCCGAUUGCGAAGGCAGCAUGCCGGCUCCACACUGACGCUGAGGCACGAAAGCGUGGGUAUCGAACAGGAUUAGAUACCCCAGUAGUC
rnacentral:rRNA from 1 species